rnacentral:pre_miRNA from 2 species
AACUAGCCUGUCGAACUGUGGCAGUUCAAUAGGUACUGUCGAACCGCAGUUGUUCGAUAGGGUAUCCUGUCGAACCACGGUUAUUUGACAGGGUG